GCUGAAGGCACAUUGGCUCUGAUAAGGUACUUCACACCUAGACUUUUUGGACCAAAGUUGGAAGUUUAUAGCUUUGUUGGUGACGCCUCAUUUCCUCUUGGGAAGGUGUGUGGAGUGAUAUAAAAGGGGGUCACCAACCGAGAGCUCUUCACUGAACUGGUUCAUAAGCCUAACAACUUUCUUUCCAUCGAAACGAGCCUUCUCUUCCCUGCCACAAUGGGACGUUCGAAUGGCCCGACUGUCAUCUACAUCCCCUGUGGGAACCAGGGCUCCUGCCGCCAACAGUACUGUUGCAGCUGACCUCGCUGUUGCCCCCGAUCUUGCUGUUACUGCAAUACAGUGCUGUUGCUGAGGUGGAGUCGCUGAACCUUGGGAACUCAGAGCAGUCCUGAAACGACACAGGCAGCCACCGAACCAGCUUCUCGUGCUCUUCCUGGGCUUUGACACUAUCGUGAUUUCUUCCGCUUCUACAGUUGCAUUCGCAAUAUUUAUUUGGGGGGGAAAAUUGUGGGAAGAAUAUUAUCUCUCUCCCCC